rnacentral:piRNA from 1 species
GAUAACUUCAAUGUACCUUAGCUGAUGUG